GGCUGCAGAGGGGAACAGGCCAUUCUUUUAACAUUCUAUUUCCAGGCACAUUAUUAUUAAUCACCACGCUGAUACUUUUCGGUAUUAUUUUUUUAUUCAUAAUUUUAGUAACACAUAUAUUCACAAGCUUUCCAGCUUCUGUCCAUCACGACACGCUGGCUGACAAACGUGGAACGGCUUUUCAUUCCCUCUGAGGAUGUUCUGCAAUGCCAUGACUUUUACAGAAGGCUGAGUUAGGUCUCCGUGGGCUUUGCCUAGCAGAGAAGCAGAGAGCUGACGGACAAUCAGCACAGAGCCUACUGAAAUAACAGGGCAAAAGCCCUGGCAAGUCUGGGAGGCUCUCAUGCUGGGGUUAUAGAAUGAGUCCCCCAGAAGGCUAACCUCCUGGCAGCGUGAGCACCAACAGACCUUGCCUUUGUGACACUUACUUCUAGGAAUCCUGGCUCGAUGGAUUACACUGGUGUAUCUGCCCAGACUAGCCCAGGAUCCUGGUUCCUGUCUUGGAAAGUGAAAGAUGCAAGGAGUCCCUGGGAAGAGGCAUUUCAUUAAGGAUGGACAUGAGGUCAUGAUUAAGAAGAGGGCCAGAAGAAGUCAUAGCAAGGGCAUCUCCCACCGAUGGAACAAGAACCAAGAGAUGAAGCACAUCAAAAACAAAGGCAGAAAUGGAGAAACAGAUUCCUGACAGAUCUUGUUACAUGUUUUGCUGCUUUUCUGUUUGAACAAAGUCGUGAUGAGCCUCUCGAGUCUGAGAGGAACCAGGAAAGGAAAAUGGGAGUGUGCAGCUGCCUCAAGGAGGAGGCCAGAUGAGGACGGGCAGGAGGUUCUCCAGGCUGAGAAAGAAGACAUGGAGACAACCUGGUAUUGCACUGGGAUCUGGAAGCUUCAUGCAUGUUUCAGAACACCUUUAAACAGAAGGUAUUUAUGACCCGUGACCAAGUGGCUGGUGCUGACAACUUGUCCUUACCCGUCUCCUAUGGUACUGCUAAAAUGACCACCAGAUGCCUCAACCCACUGAGGCCUGAGAUAAUCUUGCCAACCCUGGGAAGUUUCUAGAUUCUUUGUCUGUGUUUUCAGUACACUGGGCUAAUGUUCAGUAGCUUAAAAUAGCACGUCCUUAUUUUAGCUGUAGGGAAGGUUGUUUUUUGUUUUUGAAAAUAUAUCCAGAAUUUGUGAACCCAGUAUUCUACAAACUGCAAGCUGGCAUCUUUGUAUCAUCAUCACAGUCAUACUCCCUCUUCCGCACCAGUGUCACCUUCCAUUUCAAAGCCCACUCCUUGAGCUUUCUCACAUCCCUACUUCUGGGCAGGCGCAGUUGUUCAGACUUAGCAAAUCAGCCUCAGGUUUGGGUCCUUGGCCUGCACCUCCAACGUUUAUUGCAGUGUUAUUCUGCUAGCACUGCAUUUAUUAUAUUCCCAACUUUUGCUCUCAGGCUGGUUUUGCUGGGAUGUUUCUGCAAUAACAGCUGCCCCCAUUUAUUGUUUUCUUAGGUACCAUGUGGUAGACGUGCUUUGUGCUAAGGCUGAGUGACUCCAAACUGGGCUUUCACCUUGUAUGGAAGAGAGGUGCCGGCAGAUCAAAGAGGAAAUGCCAGUUUAUAUGGGUGUAGUAGCCGAAGUCUGGCUGUUGUCCUAAUCACAUUGUUCCCCUGUGCUGUUGGCUGUAGAGGUCAGAAUGGUUAACCCUCACGUGUCGAUGGGCCAGUUAAACUUGAGAAAUCUUUUAUCCCCUUCUCACAGGCUUUUGAGGGAGUGGUGGAAGGAGGCUACUAUUUAAACAAAGUGCUUAUUCUACUUGAAGAAGUUGAAUUGCAGUCUGGGGGUGCACUACGGCCACUCCCAAAGCUGCGGGCACAACAAGCUGAGGCAUCACUUAACACUGUAUUUUAAGGCCUUGUAGCCCAAGAUGAGAUGCACACAAACAAACCUGGAAGGACUGGAGACUAGGGAUGGGGCGAAAGGUAAGACUCAUAAGAAAUGCAGUAGGUCUGGGCUGUGGUGGCUGGUGUGUGCCAUGACCAUCCCUCCCCAUUCACAAUAGUCUUUUCCUUCUCUCAGGAAGAAGGGCCUUCUUUCCUCAACAAGUAGCUUACGCUACUGCAGGUUUUUAAUUAGAACAGGCAAGAGCUUCCUCUUUUCACUCUCAGGACACUCAGCCUUAGAAACAGAAUAGCAGCUGUUAUUUCCAAUCCCUCUUGUACGCAAACAGGGAAAGAAUUGUAAUACUUAAAGUUAGUUUCUCUUGAAAAAGAAGUGUCCCAUUUUCUUAUAACUCAGUCCUGUAUUUCUCUCAAAAAUGUUCUGCCGGUGUUACUCACAAAGAGGUUUUGUCAUCAGCAUCAGACUCCCUCGUGCUUUAGUUUAUGAAAGUAACAAGAUGCUUGGGUCACUUGCCCAGUGCUGCCUGCUAUGCCACCCAUUGGAAUUUAAGAGCAUCUUCUCUGUGUUAUUAGUUAAUGGCCAUUUUAUAAUAAUAAUAAUUCUACCUCUAAGUAAAUUACGCCUUUGAUCUCUGCGAGAGGACAAAAGAAACUGUGGUCACACCAGAAGAAGUAGAGGCUUGCUGUCUUCAGUGAUAUUUUGGUCCUGUAUUUCUUGGUCCCCUCCAUCUGCUGCUGCAGACAGGCCCCGAUGUCCAGAGUGCCAAGGUAAGAACAUGCCCCAGAACAAAGCAACGGUGCUGUAGUUCAGGAUCUUGUGUCACAGCUUGAUACAAACACGUCCACCAAAGUAGCACUUGAAAUGAAGGAGAGCAGUCCUGCAUAGUAAGGGCUGGGAAACGUAGGAAACUGCCAUUUAUAGUGAAUUAUAUGGAGCUCUGUGUUACAGUGUGUGCUUGAUGCUACAAGGGGCGGGAAGGACAUCAGUGGGUCAGAAACUUCAGUUCUCGGAUCCAUUCAGAGAAUACGUUAAGCAGCCCUGUGAAAUGGUGACGGCACGGUCCCAAAGCAAGGGAAACAAGUCCGGUUUCAGGUUUUACUGCAGUGUAAAGCAGUGCUGACUUUUAUUUUUCAUGAAGGCUUGUCGAUCUCAGCCAGUUCUGUGCACACAUACCUAACUGAUGAGCUCACGCUGCGAGUGAAGCUCCAGAGCUGUGACUGAAUUUUGCUUUGGGUUUUGGACUGCCCGAAGCUUAGAAACCCUGGCCCCACAAUCAGCGUGGUCCUUACGUUCCUUGUGAUGGAUUUUUGCUGGUCUGUAACACGGAUUUCCUCAUCAGGUUGUAAAAACUCUCAGCAUGCUCUUUGGGAAGGCCUUAAGGAGAACAGCCGGCGCAGUGAUCCGCGUGCUCUGUGGGCACAGAACUGCAGCCUGCCCUCUGACCACAUCCAGCCCGGCCUCGGGCUCCUCCUGCACCCCCAGCAGGGCCAGGUGUGUCAGGAUGGCAUCCUCCACGGACACAGAGCAAAAAACAAUGUGCAGGUGAAGGCAAAUCUAAACAUGAUGGAGCCAAAUGAGAUUUCUCACCACAGACAACGACAGAGGAAGGGAGCUGCUAGCUGACAAGGGCCAAAAAGAAGGAUGCCGUUACCAAUUAUUACUACUGUUGGAACACGAGUGCUUUUCACUGGAGAAACAAAAUUUGUGUAAUUAAUCAUCGGGUCUCCUUCUCUGACAUAAUCACUCUGGCAUAAUCGCUCUGCUGCCUGUCAGCCACCUGCUGAAAGAAGCAGAAAUUUACAUAUUUCCAGUAAGUAAAUAUGUAAUCUUUUGUCAAAGUGCAACGUAGUACAGCCCACACGUGCCCCCCUGCACAAGGACAGAGUAUACAUCUGUCUCAUUUCCAGUUAUGAUUUUCCCCCAGAGCAGUUCCGUUGAGCUUACAGCUGUGGUUUAAACUUUCAGCCUGAUGGCGAGGAGAAUGCUGAAUGCCUGAUGAACUCUCAUUUUCAGAUAAAAAUAUCGAUU
ensembl:lncRNA